CCUGCCCAAUGAAGUUUUUAAUGGCCGCGGUAUUUUAACCGUGCAAAGGUAGCAUAAUCAUUAGCCUAUUAAUUGUAGGCUUGUAUGAAUGGUUGGACGAAAUAAUUACUGUCUCAUUUGUUUUUUUAGAAUUUAAUUUUUGAGUCAAAAAGCUCAAGUUUUUUUGUAGGACGAGAAGACCCUAUAGAUCUUUAUUGUUUUUAUUCUUUAUUUAUUUAGUUUAAAUUUUAUUUUUUAGUUUAUUUGCUUUUUUGUUGGGGUGACAUGGGGAUUUAUAUUAACUCUUUAUUUUUUUUUUCAUUUAUUUAUGUUUAUUUGACCUUUUAUUAAUGUUAUAAGAUUUAGAUACCUUAGGGAUAACAGCGUUAUUUUUUUUGAGAGUUCAUAUCGACAGAGAANAUUGCGACCUCGAUGUUGGAUUAAGAUUAUUAUCAGGUGUAGUGGCUUGGUUAUUAGGUCUGUUCGACCUUUAAAUUCUUACAUGAUCUGAGUU
rnacentral:rRNA from 1 species